rnacentral:SRP_RNA from 1 species
GCUGGGCAUGGUGGCGCGUGCCUGUAGUCCCAGCUACUCAGGAGGCUGAGGCAGGAGAAUCGCUUGAACCCAGGAGGCAGAGGUUGCAGUGAGCCGAGAUUGUGCCACUGCACUCCAGCCUGGGCAACAGAGUGAGACUCCGUCUCAA